GGAAAGGUGCGCUGACCCGCGAUUGCGGCUCCCGCGAAAAUUCGGAAGCAGAUUUGCGUCGCGAAAACGCGAAAACGCGCGUGAGUGUAGGGCGUUUCAGGCGUUUGACUCGCGAAAAAAACCACGCGCGUGAGUUUAUGUGUUGCAUUUUGUGCAUACACGCGUUUCGCCUCCCCCGCUCGAGUUGGAAAAAUCUGAACUCCAGCGUAAAAUCGCGCCGCGACAACCAAUCAGGAGCCUGGUGACGUGGCUGUUACCUAGUUCAAAGGGGCAGAUCCAGCCAAAGCCCUUUAUUCUUCAAUAGAAGGAAGGCUAAUCAAUGCUGUAGCAAACAACCCGGAGCCGUACGACACCAGCUGCCUUCUGGAUCGAGACAGGAAUAUAAAGGACCGAGCUUGGAGGAAGAUAUGUGAAGAGAUCGGGCAACCUGCAUUGCAUUCUGCAGCCUGAUUGACAAAUCUCCUCCGUGUCGUGUCUCCUGCGCUUGCCAAAUUUAUCAUGUUUGGUUUUGAUAACCAUCACGUCCAAUAGAAAACAGCACAAAAACACCCAUAACUAUGAGCCUCAUUCGGAAAUAGACACCUGCACCGCGAGGGAAAAAGGCGCACGAAAGUGGCAGGCAGAUGAAGACAAACGGCGGCAUAAUAAUACUUUUACGUUUUGCAAUCUACAAAGGUUUGCACUUUGAGAAUCAAUUGUGAGAACUGUGACCAAUGUUCAUGUGUGUGUGUGUGGGAAAAAAAGUGUAUAAAGUGCGUGGCCAGGGGCUAGUUAUUCUGAGAACCCCUGAUUAUAUCCUGUUUUUGUUUUGUUUUCUUUCAAUGUUGAAAUUAAAAUCUAGUAGCAGCCUUCUCAUUUCUUUGUGUUUUGUGCUGUUUUACAGGCCCACAGGGGAGGACGGCUCCGAGGCAGAUGAGGGACGGGUCCCAGGACGGUCCAUCGGCGCUGGAGCUGGCCAUCCUGGUGUCCCUGAAGAGUCCACACCAGUCUCCAAUUGUGCAUUUCCUCCUCAGCCUUGUUCCUGCUCUGGAGAGCAGCUGGUCGUUUUUAUUCCUGUCUCUCUGUAAAUGCUUAUAUUUUAUAUAUUUAUGUUUAAUGUUUUUCUGUUUGAGAAUUCUAAUAUUAUUUCAAAUAAAUUUUUAUAAUGACUAAUGUCUCAGUUCUACUACACAGCAAAUGUUGGCACACGACUUGACACAUGUAGAAUUUAUUUCAUAUUAUACUAAUGACAAAAUAUACUGAUACAGUGGGAUGCAAAAGUUUGGGCAACCUUGUUAAUAGACAUCAUUUUCCUGUAUAAAUCGUUGGUUGUUACAAUAAAAAA
ensembl:lncRNA